rnacentral:rRNA from 1 species
GACGAACGCUGGCGGCGUGCUUAACACAUGCAAGUCGAGCGGAGCGGCGAACGGGUGAGUAACGCGUGAGUAACUGCCCCCCUCUCCGGGAUAACAGUUGGAAACGGCUGCUAAUACCGGAUAGUGGGGGAUGACUCGCGUCCUAUCAGUUUGUUGGUGGGGUAGUGGCCUACCAAGGCGACGACGGGUAGCCGGCCUGAGAGGGCGACCGGCCACAUUGGGCUAGGAUACGGGCCAAAAGCCAACGGGAGGCAACGGUUGGGAAUAUUACACAAUGGGGGAAGCCCUGAUACAGCAACGCCGCGUGCGGAAUGACUGCCUUCGGGUUGUAAACCGCUUUCAGCGAUAACGCGGUAGUGACAGAAGAAGCACCGGCUAACUACGUGCCAGCAGCCGCGGUAAUUC